rnacentral:rRNA from 1 species
CCUGAUCCAGCAUGCCGCGUGAGUGAAGAAGGCCUUCGGGUUGUAAAGCUCUUUUGUCAGGGAAGAAAAGGGUACGGCUAAUAUCCGUGCCUCAUGACGGUACCUGAAGAAUAAGCACCGGCUAACUACGUGCCAGCAGCCGCGGUAAUACGUAGGGUGCAAGCGUUAAUCGGAAUUACUGGGCGUAAAGCGUGCGCAGGCGGUUUUGUAAGUCUGUUGUGAAAUCCCCGGGCUUAACCUGGGAAUGGCAAUGGAGACUGCAAGGCUAGAGUUUGGCAGAGGGGGGUAGAAUUCCACGUGUAGCAGUGAAAUGCGUAGAGAUGUGGAGGAACACCGAUGGCGAAGGCAGCCCCCUGGGUCAAGACUGACGCUCAUGCACGAAAGCGUGGGGAGCAAACAGGAUUAGAUACCCUGGUAGUCCACGCCCUAAACGAUGUCUACUAGUUGUUGGGUCUUAAUUGACUUAGUAACGCAGCUAACGCGUGAAGUAGACCGCCUGGGGAGUACGGUCGCAAGAUUAAAACUCAAAGGAAUUUGACGGAGAUCAGGGGUUGCCCCCCAUUGUCCAAAUUCCCCCCCCACCC